rnacentral:rRNA from 1 species
AUACAGCGAAACUGCGAAUGGGCUCAUUAUAUAAGUUAUCGUUUAUUUGAUAGUACCUUACUACUUGGAUAACCGUGGUAAUUCUAGAGCUAAUACAUGCUAAAAAUCCCGACUUCGGAAGGGAUGUAUUUAUUAGAUUAAAAACCAAUGCCCUUCGGGGCUCACUGGUGAUUCAUGAUAACUCCUCGAAUCGCAUGGCCUUGUGCCGGCGAUGGUUCAUUCAAAUUUCUUCCCUAUCAACUUUCGAUGUUUGGGUAUUGGCCAAACAUGGUUGCAACGGGUAACGGAGGGUUAGGGCUCGACCCCGGAGAAGGAGCCUGAGAAACGGGCUACUCACAUCCCAAGGGAAGGCCAGCAGGGCGCCGCAAUAUUUACCCCAAUCCCCGACACGGAGGAGCGUAGGGGACUAAUAAAAUACGUGAAUACGAGGCGCUCUUUGUGCGGUUCUCGCUACAUGGGGAAGUGAGCUACAUAUUCUAAACUCCCUCCACACGAGGUAACUAAUUGGAGCGGUCAAAGUCCUGGCUGCCACGCAGCCCGCGUGUUUAUUCCCAGGCUCCAAGUAGCGCUAUAUUUAAAGCUUGGUUGCUGGUUUAAAACACGCUCGGUAGGUUGAACUCUUGGGGCCGGGACUGGACCGGUCCCGCCUUCACCAGCGUGUACGUGGUCACGGCCGGCGCCUUUCCCUGCUGUGGGAACCUCCAUGCCCCUUCCACGUGGGGUGGGGGCGGGGUAAACAAGGACUUUUAACUGCGAAAAAAAUGAGAGUGCCUCCAGGCAGGCCUAUGCUUUAAUACGUGAGCAGGGAAUAACUGAAUAGGACGUGUGGUUCUAUUUUGUUGGUUUCAUAGGACCGCCGUAGUGAUUUAUAGGGACAGUCGGGGGCGAUCAGUAUUCAACUGUCAGAGCUGAAAUUCUAGGAUUUAUUCAAGACUAACCACUGCGAAAGCAUUUGCCAUGGAUGUUUUCAUUAAUCAGGAACGCAAAGUUAGGGGAUGGAAGACGAUCAGAUAUCCGUGUGUAGUCUUAACCAUAAACUAUGCCGACUAGGGAUCGGAUCGGUGUUAUUUUUUGACCCGUUCAGGCACCCCUUACGAGAAAUCAAAG